CCUACGGUGGGCAGCAGUGAGGAAUAUUGGUCAAUGGACGAGAGUCUGAACCAGCCAAGUAGCGUGAAGGAUGACUGCCCUAUGUGUUGUAAACUUCUUUUAUAAAGGAAUAAAACGAGGCACGUGUGCCUUUUUGCAUGUACUUUAUGAAUAAGGAUCGGCUAACUCCGUGCCAGCAGCCGCGGUAAUACGGAGGAUCCGAGCGUUAUCAGGAUUUAUUGGGUUUAAAGGGAGCGUAGAUGGGUUGUUAAGUCAGUUGUGAAAUGUUGAGGCUCAACAGUAAAAUUGCAAUUGAUACUGGCAGUCUUGAGUACAGUUGAGGUAGGCGGAAUUCGUGGUGUAGCGGUGAAAUGCUUAGAUAUCACGAAGAACCCCGAUUGCGAAGGCAGCUUACUAAACUGUGACUGACAUUGAUGCUCGAAAGUGUGGGUAUCAAACAGGAUUAGAUACCCUGGUAGUC
rnacentral:rRNA from 1 species